rnacentral:rRNA from 1 species
GACAUUGAAAGCUUGCUUUUAAUGGGCGUCGACCGGCGCACGGGUGCGUAACGCGUAUCGAACCUGCCCUUUACUCAGGGAUAGCCUUGCGAAAGUAAGAUUAAUACCUGAUAGUGUUGCGAUGAGGCAUCUUGUUGCAACUAAAGAUUUAUUGGUAAAGGAUGGCGAUGCGUCUGAUUAGGUAGUAGGCGGGGUAAUGGCCCACCUAGCCUUCGAUCAGUAGGGGUUCUGAGAGGAAGGUCCCCCACAUUGGAACUGAGACACGGUCCAAACUCCUACGGGAGGCAGCAGUGAGGAAUAUUGGUCAAUGGRCGAGAGYCUGAACCAGCCAAGUAGCGUGCAGGAYGACGGCCCUCUGGGUUGUAAACUGCUUUUAGUUGGGAACAAAAAAGGCGACGUGUCGCCUCUGGAGUGUACCAUCAGAAAAAGGACCGGCUAAUUCCGUGCCAGCAGCCGCGGUAAUACGGAAGGUCCAGGCGUUAUCCGGAUUUAUUGGGUUUAAAGGGAGCGUAGGCGGACGAUUAAGUCAGCUGUGAAAGUUUGCGGCUCAACCGUAAAAUUGCAGUUGAAACUGGUUGUCUUGAGUGCACGCAGGGAUGUUGGAAUUCAUGGUGUAGCGGUGAAAUGCUUAGAUAUCAUGAAGAACUCCGAUCGCGAAGGCAUAUGUCCGGAGUGCAACUGACGCUG